ACAAACAUACAAAGCUAAAAAC
rnacentral:snRNA from 1 species